ensembl:snRNA U6 U6 spliceosomal RNA
GUGCUCGCUUCGGCAGCCCGUAUACUAAAAUUGGAACGAUACAGAGAAGAUUAGCAUGGCCCCUGCACAAGGAUGACACGCAAAUUCGUGAAGUAUAUGGAUAUGUA